rnacentral:rRNA from 2 species
AACGCAUUAAGCACUCCGCCUGGGGAGUACGGUUGCAAGGCUGAAACUCAAAGGAAUUGACGGGGGCCCGCACAAGCGGUGGAGCAUGUGGUUUAAUUUGAAGCAACGCGAAGAACCUUACCAGGUCUUGACAUCCUUUGACAACUUUAGAGAUAGAGCGUUCCCCUUCGGGGGACAGAGUGACAGGUGGUGCAUGGUUGUCGUCAGCUCGUGUCGUGAGAUGUUGGGUUAAGUCCCGCAACGAGCGCAACCCUUGAUUUUAGUUGCCAGCAUUUAGUUGGGCACUUUAAGGUGACUGCCGGUGACAAACCGGAGGAAGGUGGGGAUGACGUCAAAUCAUCAUGCCCCUUAUGACCUGGGGUACACACGUGGUACAAUGGAUGGUACAAAGGGGUGCAAGACCGCGAGGUCAAGCCAAUUCCAUAAAACCAUUUUCAGUUCGGAUUGUAGGUUGCAACUUGCCUACAUGAAGCUGGAAUCGCUAGUAAUCGCGGAUCAGCAUGCCGCGGUGAAUACGUUCCCGGGCCUUGUACACCCCGCCCGUCACCCCCCGAGAGUUUGUAACACCCGAAGUCGGUGGGGUAACCUUUAUGGAGCCAGCCGC